UACGUAGGUGGCAAGCGUUGUCCGGAUUUACUGGGCGUAAAGAGCGCGCAGGCGGUCGUUCAAGUCGCGUGUGAAAGCCCCCGGCUCAACUGGGGAGGGUCACGCGAUACUGAUCGACUCGAAGGCAGGAGAGGGUAGUGGAAUUCCCGGUGUAGUGGUGAAAUGCGUAGAUAUCGGGAUGAACACCAGUGGCGAAGGCGACUACCUGGCCUGUUCUUGACGCUGAGGCGCGAAAGCUAGGGGAGCAAACGGG
rnacentral:rRNA from 1 species